rnacentral:rRNA from 2 species
UGGGGAAUAUUGGGCAAUGGGCGCAAGCCUGACCCAGCAACGCCGCGUGAAGGAAGAAGGCUUUCGGGUUGUAAACUUCUUUUGUCAGGGACGAAUAAAUGACGGUACCUGACGAAUAAGCCACGGCUAACUACGUGCCAGCAGCCGCGGUAAUACGUAGGUGGCAAGCGUUAUCCGGAUUUACUGGGUGUAAAGGGCGUGUAGGCGGGAUUGCAAGUCAGAUGUGAAAACUCGGGGCUCAACCUCGAGCCUGCAUUUGAAACUGUAGUUCUUGAGUGUCGGAGAGGUAAUCGGAAUUCCGUGUGUAGCGGUGAAAUGCGUAGAUAUACGGAGGAACACCAGUGGCGAAGGCGGAUUACUGGACGAUAACUGACGCUGAGGCGCGAAAGCGUGGGGAGCAAACAGG